GGCUUGUUGGCGUAAUGGUAACACACUCCGUGUCAUUGCUGUAUUAUAUAUCGGUUGAUGGAAAGUCCGGAGUUCGAUUCUUCGUCAAGCCA